rnacentral:misc_RNA from 1 species
AAAAAGUUGAGGUGUUUCUAGAAAAAUUUCAGCAAUGCAUAUGCUUUGGUGGCAUUGUAAUCAUCAUCAGUGUUUCCUGACCCCAUAUUUCAGCUUUUGCAUCUAAAUUUUGUCAAACAGCUACAUGUUAAAUGUAUCAUCACACUCUGCAUCUCAUGGUUUUUAGUUCUUCUUUGCUGAGUAUUAGAAAGAAUGAUGUGCAUAAG